GAUGAACGCUAGCUAUAGGCUUAACACAUGCAAGUCGAGGGACCGGCGCACGGGUGAGUAACGCGUAUCCAACCUGCCCAUAACUAAGGGAUAACCCAGCGAAAGUUGGACUAAUACCUUAUGGUUAUGGAUGGGGAUGCGUUGGAUUAGCUUGUUGGCGGGGUAACGGCCCACCAAGGCAACGAUCAGUAGGGGUUCUGAGAGGAAGGUCACCCACAGUGGAACGGAGACACGGGCCAAACUCCUACGGGAGGCAGCAGUGAUGAAUAUUGGUCAAUGGACGCAAGCCUGAUGCAGCCAUGCCGCGUGUAUGAAGAAGGCCUAGGGUUGUAAAGUACUUUCAGUCGGGAGGCGUUACCGACAGAAGAAGCACCGGCUAACUCCGUGCCAGCCGCCGCGGUAAUAC
rnacentral:rRNA from 1 species